AGAGUUUGAUCAUGGCUCAGAAUCAACGCUGGCGGCGUGCCUCAGACAUGCAAGUCGAACGCGAUUCGUUCCUUCGGGGGCGAGUUGAGUGGCGCACGGGUGAGUAACACGUAGGUAAUCUACCUUUGGGUGGGGAAUAACAGCCGGAAACGGCUGCUAAUACCGCAUAAUGCAGCGGCAUCACAUGAUGACAGUUGUUAAAGCGGGGGAUCGAAAGACCUCGCGCCAGAAGAGGAGCCUGCGGCAGAUUAGCUAGUUGGUGGGGUAAUGGCUCACCAAGGCAACGAUCUGUAGCCGGCCUGAGAGGGCGGUCGGCCACACUGACACUGGCAUACGGGUCAGACUCCUACGGGAGGCAGCAGUCGGGAAUUUUGGGCAAUGGGCGAAAGCCUGACCCAGCAACGCCGCGUGAAGGAUGAAAUCUCUCGGGAUGUAAACUUCGCAAGAAUAGGAAGAAUAAGUAGGGGAUAACACCCUCUAUGAUGACGGUACUAUUUGUAAGCUCCGGCUAACUCCGUGCCAGCAGCCGCGGUAAUACGGGGGGAGCAAGCGUUGUUCGGAUUUACUGGGCGUAAAGGGCGCGUAGGCGGCGCAACAAGUCACUUGUGAAAUCUCCGGGCUUAACUCGGAACGGUCAAGUGAUACUGUUGUGCUAGAGUGCGGAAGGGGCNCUGGAAUUCUCGGUGUAGCGGUGAAAUGCGUAGAUAUCGAGAGGAACACCUGCGGCGAAGGCGGGUUGCUGGGCCGACACUGACGCUGAUGCGCGAAAGCCAGGGGAGCGAACGGGAUUAGAUACCCUGGUAGUCC
rnacentral:rRNA from 1 species